rnacentral:rRNA from 1 species
AACGAACGCUGGCGGCAGGCUUAACACAUGCAAGUCGAACGCCCCGCAAGGGGAGUGGCAGACGGGUGAGUAACGCGUGGGAAUCUACCCAUCCCUACGGAACAACUCCGGGAAACUGGAGCUAAUACCGUAUACGCCCUACGGGGGAAAGAUUUAUCGGGGAUGGAUGAGCCCGCGUUGGAUUAGCUAGUUGGUGGGGUAAAGGCCUACCAAGGCGACGAUCCAUAGCUGGUCUGAGAGGAUGAUCAGCCAAAUUGGGACUGAGACACGGCCCAAACUCCAACGGGAGGAAGCAGUGGGGAAUAUUGGACAAUGGGCGCAAGCCUGAUCCAGCCAUGCCGCGUGAGUGAUGAAGGUCUUAGGAUUGUAAAGCUCUUUCCCCGAUGAAGAUAAUGACGGUAGUCGGAGAAGAAGCCCCGGCUAACUUCGUGCCAGCCGCCGCCGUAA